rnacentral:rRNA from 1 species
GGUAUUUUGACCGUGCAAAGGUAGCAUAAUCAUUAGUUUUCUAAUUGAAAGCUGGAAUGAAAGGUUGGAUGAAAAAUAAGCUGUCUCUAUUUAAAUUUAUUAGAAUUUUAUUUUUAAGUUAAAAAGCUUAAAUUUUAAUAGAAGACGAGAAGACCCUAUAGAGUUUUAUUAAUUUAAUAAAUAAAAAUAAUAGUAUUAAUUAUUUUUAUUUAUUAAAUAAAUUUAGUUGGGGUGAUUGAAAAAUUUAAUUAACUUUUUUUAUAUAUAUACAUUGAUUUAUGAUUAUUUGAUCCUUAGUUUAAGAUUAAAAGAUAAAAUUACCUUAGGGAUAACAGCGUAAUUUUUUUUGAGAGUUCUAAUCGAAAGAAAAGAUUGCGACCUCGAUGUUGGAUUAAAAUAAAAUUUUGGUGUAGAAGCUAAAA